GUGUGUGUGUGUGUGGGUGGGUGUAUGGUGGUAGUUUGUUUUCUUUUUUAUUACAAUUAAAGUCCAUAUGGAAGCUAUUACUGAAUAUGUACUUGUGUGAACGACUAUGUAAGAUAUUAGGAAUAAGAUAAAAAUAGAGAAGACGUAGUCCCAACUCAUGCCGUUUUUAUUUAUAGUGUGAGAGACCAAAUGUUAAAAAGUACACAAAUAAAUAAAAUUAAGGAAUGUGAUGCAUCAUCAGGUGACUAUGGUAACAGGUCAGACCUAAUCAGAACACUAAGAGCUCUCUGAGAAGUAACCUUUAUGUUACAACAAAGAACGUCUGGAGACAGACGCCUGCAUCUAAAAAGACUGAAAAUCUAUAUACAUGAUGUUGUGACCAGUGAGAGAUUUAAAAAGCUGAACAAGGAUCAUCUAUUUCGAGAGACAAGAGAGUUCUAUAAUGAGAGACCGACUGCCAGCAAUUAUCCUUUAAGGUGUGGAGCAAAAUAUGUCAUUAAAGAUCCUCGUGCCAAAAAGGAUAGGGGAAAACAGCUGGCAAAAUGAGCAGGAAUGAGUACUGCCUUUUGCAAGCUGUUCUCUGCAUUUUUAUUAAAUAUCAACGAAAGCGCAACAAUAUGAGACAGAACUUCAAACACAAUCACUGCUGUUAGCUGGAGUAACAAGCGCAACCCAGGAGCUGGACAAUGGUUCCUGUACCAGGUCCUCAAGUAACCUCGAUGCAGAGCAGAGGCAUGAAAAUCAGGACUCUUAUCUCAUUGAAAAUUAAUAUACUUUCCCUCUCCACCCCCACCCCCCAACACACACUCACACUUUGCUUGGUUUUCACAGGAUUAUGUGCGUUGAAGGAAUUCUGAAUCCCUCUGCAAUGAGAAGUUUCUAAUAUUGAUGAAUUAAGUGUUCAUUAAACAGAGCCCCUGCUAAGUGUUGUGGGUAUAAUAAUGAACGAGGCAGAGUCCAACCCUCAGCCAACCUUACUGUGUGUGGAUGAGGUGAGCCUCAGAGAAGAGGAAUAUAAGCUUAGGACUAAAUGGGUAAUACCAAUAAAGGAAACAAGUUAUCCA
rnacentral:lncRNA from 1 species